rnacentral:rRNA from 1 species
UACGUAGGGUGCGAGCGUUAAUCGGAAUUACUGGGCGUAAAGCGUGCGCAGGCGGUUUUUUAAGCCAGAUGUGAAAGCCCCGGGCUCAACCUGGGAAUGGCAAUGGAUACUGGCAGGCUAGAGUGCGGUAGAGGGUAGUGGAAUUCCCGGUGUAGCGGUGAAAUGCGUAGAGAUCGGGAGGAACACCAGUGGCGAAGGCGGCUACCUGGACCAGCACUGACACUGAGGCACGAAAGCGUGGGGAGCAAACAGG